rnacentral:rRNA from 1 species
AUUGAACGCUGGCGGAAUGCUUUACACAUGCAAGUCGAACGGCAGCACGGACUUCGGUCUGGUGGCGAGUGGCGAACGGGUGAGUAACGUAUCAGAACGUGCCCAGUCGUGGGGGAUAACGUAGUGAAAAUUACGCUAAUACCGCAUACGAGCUAUGGAUGAAAGCGGGGGAUCGCAAGACCUCGCGCGAUUGGAGCGGCCGAUAUCAGAUUAGGUAGUUGGUGGGGUAAAGGCCCACCAAGCCAACGAUCUGUAGCUGGUCUGAGAGGACGACCAGCCACACUGGAACUGAGACACGGUCCAGACUCCUACGGGAGGCAGCAGUGGGGAAUUUUGGACAAUGGGCGAAAGCCUGAUCCAGCCAUUCCGCGUGCAGGAUGAAGGCCCUCGGGUUGUAAACUGCUUUUGUACAGAACGAAAAGGUUUCUACUAAUACUAGGAGCUCAUGACGGUACUGUAAGAAUAAGCACCGGCUAACUACGUGCCAGCAGCCGCCGCAG